UACGUAGGGUGCAAGCGUUGUCCGGAAUUAUUGGGCGUAAAGAGCUCGUAGGCGGUUUGUCGCGUCUGCUGUGAAAACUCGGGGCUUAACCCCGGGCCUGCAGUGGGUACGGGCAGACUAGAGUGCGGUAGGGGAGAUCGGAAUUCCUGGUGUAGCGGUGAAAUGCGCAGAUAUCAGGAGGAACACCGGUGGCGAAGGCGGAUCUCUGGGCCGUAACUGACGCUGAGGAGCGAAAGCAUGGGGAGCGAACAGG
rnacentral:rRNA from 1 species